GAGGAGGGAGGACGAGUCAAGCGCUGCACUCCAGAAAGCUCAGUCUUACCCUCUGUCUCUGCUGCUAGUGCUGCAAGUGGGAUAGCUGCUCAUCACAAAGCACCAGUUUAGUCCUCAAAACCGAUCCUCAUUUCACGCCCGAGUGUUGCUUCUGUUGCUUUCUCAAACCCGUGAUCUGUAGUGAUUUUCUCCUACCCUUUCCCUCCCCACGUCCGCUAUAGACCGUGAAUCGAGCAACGAUUUUUAGAGCAAAUGUUUGUUCGCCUUUCUUUUCUUCUAUUCUGCCUUUUGCGGAAUCAAGCUGGUAAGGAAACUCGUUUCCCAGAUUUCCACCUUCCCCUGUUGUGUCGGUGCUUUUGUGAAAUAGCUGCAGUCACUGUAACUGCAUAAAACUCCAGGGAGGAAGGGGGACUGCCUGAGAUCUCAGACUUUCGUCCUGUUUCCCAGUGCUGUUUCAGCCUCUCGGUCUUUGUGAUUGUGCUCUUCCUAUUACCGUGUUUUGAAUGUGUCUUUUCAGCAUGUUUGUGGGUAUCCUAGGAGAAAAAAAAAAAAAAAAAUCCUCGGAGAAGAUGUUCAGGAUGGGAGCGAGAGGGUUAGUAGAAUAACCACAUGUAAGAAGUAACAGAUUUAUUUCCGAACAGAGACUUGCUGCUUCAAUGAUUGCUAAAAUGUAGCGUCACCUACCUGGGUAAGUGGGAAAUAAACUUUAAUGGUAAAGCUCUCCGGCUCAACUUUGCUUAUUCUGACGUCCCUAGUUCGUGUCUCCUUUUGACUUUGAGCCAUUUAAUCGCCUAUGGCUUUUGUGUGCUCCCGCCCUACCCUUGGUGCUGCCUGGCUCCUUACCUGUCCUUUCUGCUCGGAGCCCGGAGGGAAAAGAGGGAGACUCAGGGGGCAGGCGAGCGUGGGGCAGGCAGCGGGGAGGGCAGGAGCGUGUUGGGGUGUGUGUGUGUGCGGGUGUGCGCACGUGUGUGUGCGGGUACAUGUGUGUGCGUGCGUGCGCGCAGCCAGGGGAAGGCAGGAAUCCAGCUGCUCCUUCUCCCUCUGUGAGCACAUGCGGGAAAACAAGUUGUUGCGCGUUCUCUAUGUGUUUGUGUGUGCAUUCCUCGUUAUAUGUGGCUCUUUUGAAUAAAAAAAAGCACGCAGACGAAUGUAAUGAAAUGUCUCUCUCAUCGAGAUGAUGUAUUUGAGCGGAAAGCGGCCGGAUAUGUUGAGGUGGUUCAAAGCAACGGUCACAGCGUGUCUUUGUCAUUUGGGGCGGUGAGUGAUUGUAGGAGGGAGGGAAGGUUGCCACCUCUUUCCUUGAGGAGUCCAGAGACACAGAGGGGCAGAGCCGCGCCGCAUGGAGUCGGCGCUAGGGAGGGAGGGACUGCUCCCUUCUCCGGAGGGCUGCAGAGCUGCUCCUCCGGCGCCUCCUCCGGCCCUGGCACCGGCCCCGGCCGCUCUCUCUGCCUCGCCAGAACACGAAAACCCUCCCCCGCCGAUGCUGGAGACACUCGUCUUUCUAUCUGCAGCAUCAGCGAGAAAGCCCAGCUCGGCGCAGGCUCAGUGCUCACCGCCGCAGUCCCGGACGGAGGAGGGGGGUUCGGGAGCGCAGCAUCUUCGCAGCGGGUUAAGUAGGAUUAGUACCAAAUCCCUAUUAUAUUUGCCAAGCAACUUGAAUUUAUCAAAAUUCCCCCUCGCUGUUCUGGAGCUCCGUGAGGAGGAAAUUUUGCUCACAGUGUAAGAUCCACACAUGCCAGUUGGUAGGAAUACCAGCGUACUGCAUUUCACUGGCUCCCUGCGCAGGAAAUGCAACUGCGGACGGCAGCUCCCGCUGUUCCCGUCCUUUGUGUUUUUAAACGCAGCCAGGAAACUUAAUGUAUUCGCCAGGGAAGGGGCGGGAUGAGAGCUUUUUUAACCUCCCCGCCAUAAACUUUAAUCGGAUUCCGGGCUGUUGCACGGCAUGGACGCUCGCCUCUUGCCUGCGUCUCCUUCCCCGUUGUUCCUACUACGGUCUGCUUGCGAGUGCCUCUUUCAAGCGAAUGAGUGAUUUCUUUCUCUUGCCAUGUGCAAUUGCUCCCCCUUCCCUUCCUACCCUCGCUGGCCUCUCUUACACACACUAUGCCUUUCACACGCGGUCUGCGGCCCCCAGUCCCCCCCUCCUUUCUUUCUUUUUUUGCAGUGUCUUCACAUGCAAUCUCUCUCUGAAUGUGCAAUGUCUUUCCUGCUCGGGAGUGCUGCGUCCUUCACAGUGGAUUGGUUCCUCUUUCGGAGCAGAGGAGAGCAUAAAUGAUCUGGCAUGUCUUCAUGAUUGUACUGUGUCAGCUGCCUGUUGAGCAGAAGAUAAAAUACUCAAGUAAGAUGGCAACUCUGAGAAGUUCUGAAGAAGAACCUUUGAUAUUGUAAUUCAAGCACUGUUAUGGAUAAUUGAAUGCUGUGCAGCUCUAUUCCUUUCUGUAAGCUAAUGCCAAUACAUGUUAUUGACUACAUCCGAGAUGAAAUUUAUAAAUCUCCACAUAUACUCACUUAGUAGGUAUCUUUAAUGUUUCUGUCUGCUUCAUCAAAACAAUUACUGCUCCGGCAGGAAAAAAAAGUAUAAUAGUUGUACAGAACAACUAGGGUAUAGAACACAGUUAUUCUAUAUUAGGGAAAUAAAUAUAGAAAGUAAUUUAGAAUGGGAUCAAGCUGUUGAUUGCUUAUUGGACAGGCUAUUUGGCUUUGUUCUGCAAUGUUUAAAACUUCUUUACUAGGUAUUUUAUAAUAUUAGUCUUGUCCUUUCUUUUCAUAUGAAAAGUGCAUUAGAAUCCUUAGAGGUCAUAUUUCUAUAAAGCUUAUUCAGCUGUACAGUGGAGAAGAAGACAAAGUUUUCCCUCAAUUCAUUUUUUGACUUAUCAGAAACAUGACUAUUCACUGAAAAACAGUAAGGGCUAUUCACCUGCUGCAAUCAACUGUUAAUGGUGAGGAAGUGUGAAGAAAUGGAGUCCCUUGUGCCUUACAUUAAAACAUAAACUUAUAUAUCCAUGCCUAUACUGUACAGGUCUAGUGAACAGCUUUGGUUUUUAGCCAAAAUGGCAAUUAGAAGCUGAAGAAGGCCCUGGUUCUAUCACCCUAAAACAGGAUCCUUUUAGAACCAAUAGGAGUAGCCAAAUAUAUUUUAGGCUGUUAAGUGCUGGUACAUACCUGAUCAGCUUUGCUUCUAAAAUGUUUUGCACUGCUAUCUGAACUUUCCAAAAUAAGAAUGAAGGGGUUGUAGGCACCCUUCCUGAGAGGAAGAUGAUAUAGCCUGACAUUGAAAUCAUCUGACCUCCUGCUGUCUCACUUGCACUUUUUGCCAUGCAGAGACAGCCAUACUUUUAUGUCUGCUUUAGCUGUUUUGCAAAGUUUCUUGGUGAUCAUCCUUUGCAUAAUUACAUUUUUAGUGUCCUUUAUAAGAGUAAUAAGUACUGUACAGACUGGGUUUUUAUGACCUACAAUAUAUCUAGAGGAAGAGAGGUACUGAUAAGUUUCUACAUUUUUCAUCUUCUGAUAGAAACCUGACAUAUCUUCUAGUUCAUUCAUUCUGUGAGAUGAUUAAAAAGUUGCUCUUCAACAAACUAAACCUCAUCCAGGGCUCAGCAGGAAAUAACUGCAAUCUAAGCACAUUAAAGAACAGACAGGGCAAGCCAAAGUAUACCUCUUUCUUUCCCUCUUAAGAUCAUGGGGAAAAGAGAAAAGCAGUCUAAUAUUGUGAUAAAACUGCAGCCUGCAGCAGCUGGCUAUGGGUAAGGAUAUAGAAUCUAAUCCAAAGCACACAGAAGUCAAUGGAAGCACUUUGACUAAAUAAGCUUUGCAUUAGGCACCUAGUGAGUGAAUGAUGUUUAAAGUGUUCAUGUAGAUCUUAAACAGAUGUGUGAAGAAGAAAAUUAUGUGCAUUUGAAUAAAAAUAAAUGCCAUUAAAACACUUGGUGUAAAUGUUAUUUUGCUGACCCCAGAGGUGAUCUUUAUGACUCAGAAUAAACUGACAUUCUUGGGCACUGAGUCCUAUCCUCCAUUAGUUGAAGAAUUCAUACUGCAUGAAAAGCAAUCUUCAAAAUAUUUGUUUGUAUAUAUGUAUGUAAAAUUCUUAUGUUAAUACUAAUUGCAAAGUUCAAUACAUUAUAAACAUCUGCAGGGUCUUUUUACCCAUUCAGUUAUUUACAGAGCAAAUUUCUCUCAUCUUAGGGUUGGAGUUUUUUUCUGCAGAAUAAUACAAGAUUUUUCAAUUUCCUUUCAGAUCUAAGUUCUGUGUUCCUGACAUUGUGUUAAUGAGCUCCCACUUCACCUCCCUCCACUCCAUUUUUACUGAUGUUUUCAGUGAAUCCUUGGUAAAUAUGGAGGACACUAGUGCUUGAUGAUUUUCAUCAUGAAGAUGUACUCUACCUCAUGUGAUAGUGUUAAACAUCUCUUUCUUUAACCCAGAAAUAUUGUUUAAUACUCCAUAUUAGCAUUUUUCAUAGGUACAUCAUGUUUUGUUGACUAGUAG